rnacentral:rRNA from 1 species
AACGAACGCUGGCGGCGUGGAUAAGACAUGCAAGUCGAACGGGACAACAUCUGUAGCAAUACAGGUGUUGUUUAGUGGCGAACGGGUGCGUAACACGUGGGCAAUCUGCCGAGAAGUGGGGGAUAGCUCGCCGAAAGGCGAAUUAAUACCGCAUAUGAUCAGUGAAGACAUCUUCACGACAUCAAAGCCGGGGCAACCUGGCGCUUCUUGAUGAGCCCGCGGCCUAUCAGCUAGUUGGCGAGGUAACGGCUCACCAAGGCUAUGACGGGUAGCUGGUCUGAGAGGACGACCAGUCACACUGGAACUGAGACACGGUCCAGACACCUACGGGUGGCAGCAGUCGAGAAUUUUUCUCAAUGGGGCAACCCUGAAGGAGCGACGCCGCGUGGAGGAUGAAGGCUUUCGGGUUGUAACUCCUGUCAUUUGGGAACAAGUUACACACGUUAACUGCGUGGGUAUUGAUAGUACCAGAAGAGGAAGAGACGGCU